rnacentral:rRNA from 1 species
CACCGCGGUUAAACGAAAGGCCCGAAUUGAUAGAAUUCGGCGUAAAGCGUGGUUAAGAGAUAAGCCAAACUAAGAUUAAAUGCUUUUAGUACUGUUAUACGUAUUCAAAAGUUAGAAGCUCGACUACUAAAGUGAUCUUAACUAGACCCUGAACCCACGAAAGCUACGGCA